CAUAAUGGUGGCUGUGCGUGGGAGACCUUCGAGGUCUACCCGGGGUUUCUGUGACCCGGAUCGCUAACCUGCGUACAGCCGCCACCUUU
rnacentral:antisense_RNA from 2 species